UACGUAGGGGGCAAGCGUUGUCCGGAUUUAUUGGGCGUAAAGCGCUCGCAGGUGGUUCGAUGCGUCGUGCGUGAAAGACCCCGGCUCAACUGGGGGGUGUCGUGGGAUACGGUCGGACUGGAGGCCAGUAGGGGGAUGCGGAAUUCCGGGUGUAGUGGUGGAAUGCGUAGAGAUCCGGAGGAACACCAGCGGCGAAGGCGGCAUCCUGGACUGGUCCUGACACUCAUGAGCGAAAGCGUGGGGAGCGAACCGG
rnacentral:rRNA from 1 species